rnacentral:rRNA from 1 species
UACGGAGGGGACUAGCGUUGUUCGGAAUUACUGGGCGUAAAGCGCACGUAGGCGGAUUUGUAAGUCAGGGGUGAAAUCCCGGGGCUCAACCUCGGAACUGCCUUUGAUACUGCAAAUCUCGAGUCCGGAAGAGGUGAGUGGAAUUCCUAGUGUAGAGGUGAAAUUCGUAGAUAUUAGGAAGAACACCAGUGGCGAAGGCGGCUCACUGGCUCGUAUCUGACGCUCAGGCGCGACAGCGUGGGGAUCAAACAGG